UACAGAGACCUCAAGCGUUAUCCGGAAUCACUGGGCGUAAAGCGCACGUAGGCGGAUCGUUAAGUCGGGGGUGAAAUCCCAGGGCUCAACCCUGGAACUGCCUUCGAUACUGGCGAUCUUCGAGUCCGGGAGAGGUGAGUGGAACUCCGAGUGUAGAGGUGAAAUUCGUAGAUAUUCGGAAGAACACCAGUGGCGAAGGCGGCUCACUGGCCCGGUACUGACGCUGAGGUGCGAAAGCGUGGGGAGCAAACAGG
rnacentral:rRNA from 1 species